rnacentral:tRNA from 1 species
GGGUUGUUAGCUCAGUUGGUAGAGCAGCGGACUCUUAAUCCGUCGGUCGAGAGUUCGAGCCUCUCACAACCCA